AGAUUGAACGCUGGCGGCAUGCUUUACACAUGCAAGUCGAACGGUAACAGGCCGCAAGGUGCUGACGAGUGGCGAACGGGUGAGUAAUGCAUCGGAACGUGCCCAGUCGUGGGGGAUAACGCAGCGAAAGCUGUGCUAAGUACCGCAUACGAUCUAUGGAUGAAAGCGGGGGACCAAAGGCCUCGCGCGAUUGGGAGCGGCCGAUGUCAGACUUAGCUAGGUUGGAGGGGUAAACGCCCACGAGGCGACGAUCGUGUAGCGU
rnacentral:rRNA from 1 species